AAAGCGUGCGCAGGCGGUUAUGUAAGACAGAUGUGAAAUCCCCGGGCUCAACCUGGGAACUGCAUUAGUGACUGCAUAGCUGGAGUACGGCAGAGGGGGAUGGAAUUCCGCGUGUAGCAGUGAAAUGCGUAGAUAUGCGGAGGAACACCGAUGGCGAAGGCAAUCCCCUGGGCCUGUACUGACGCUCAUGCACGAAAGCGUGGGGAGCAAACAGGAUUAGAUACCCCGGU
rnacentral:rRNA from 1 species